GGGAGAGGAGGAAGACGUGGUGAAGGACGAGGUAGAAGAGGAGUAAGGGCAAGGAGACAAGUCUCGGAUGAAAUUCGAGCCACUUUAGUGGACCAUGUUCUUGUCCCUGAGGGAGGCUAGGCAACGAGUCCAGCCUAAUGUGAGUCGCUUCACCGUCACCUCCAUCAUCAGAACUUUCAGGGAGGAAAACAGGAUACAGAGACGACCAUCUGGUGGUGGGAGGCUAAGGCUUUUGUCAGAGGAGCAAGAGAGGGAGCUUGUAAACAUGGUCAUUGCCAAUAAUGUAAUCCGCCUGCGAGAGAUUCAAAGGAGAGUGAUUGAGGAUAAUCCAUCAGCCUUUCCACAAUUGAUCGCAUCCUCCGAAAGCAUCGGUUCCGGAUGAAACAGGUGUACAGGGUAAAAGAGUGGAAUAUGUUCAGAGAAUCUUUGAGUUUGAAGGCUGGCCUGUUCCACCUGAAAUUAUCUUUGUGGAUGAGGCUGGUUUCAACCUCACCAAAAGAAGGAGAUGUAGGAGGAAUAUAAUCGGCCAUCAGGCUAUUGUAAAUGUCCCUGGUCAGCGUGCAGGGAAUGUCACGAUGUGCGCAGCCAUCAGCCAACGAGGGGUCCUCCAUGCCAGUCUAGGACCCAUAAUACUAUGCUCCUUCUUGCAUUCCUUGACGGUCUAAGAGAGCAUAUGUUCCAGCUGGACCACAGGGAACCAGCACAACCAGAGCACCCUCACUAUGUUGUUGUUUGGGAUAACGUCAGUUUCCAUCGCGCUGCUCUGGUUCGUGACUGGUUUACCGAUAACCCAAUAUUUUCCAACCUCUUUCUGCCUGCAUACUCUCCAUUUCUUAACCCAAAAGAGGAGUUUUUUUCGGCAUGAUGGUGGAAAGUGUAUGACCGAGAAGCCUGCCUAGAC
ensembl:lncRNA